AGGACGAACGCUGGCGGCGUGCUUAACACAUGCAAGUCGAGCGGAAAGGCCCUUCGGGGUACUCGAGCGGCGAACGGGUGAGUAACACGUGAGCAACCUGCCCUUAGCUCUGGGAUAGCUCCGGGAAACCGGAUUAAUACCGGAUACGACCUAGGCCGACAUCGGCCAUGGUGGAAAGUUUUUCGGCUAGGGAUGGACUCGCGGCCUAUCAGCUAGUUGGUGGGGUAAAGGCCUACCAAGGCGACGACGGGUAGCCGGCCUGAGAGGGCGACCGGCCACACUGGGACUGAGACACGGCCCAGACUCCUACGGGAGGCAGCAGUGGGAAUCUUGCGCAAUGGGCGAAAGCCUGACGCAGCGACGCCGCGUGGGGGAUGAAGGCCUUCGGGUUGUAAACCCCUUUCAGCAGGGACGAAGCGAAAGUGACGGUACCUGCAGAAGAAGCGCCGGCUAACUACGUGCCAGCAGCCGC
rnacentral:rRNA from 1 species